CUCUGUUUGGAUCAAGAUUUUGGACAGAGCUACGCACAUCAGUCAGCGAUCAAGGGAAAUUCCAUAGCUGAUAGGUAAAGGCACUAAUCAAAACUAAGCGAAAGCUCGAUAACACCGCCCCUUGUAGCUGCUAGAGGGGACAAGCGGAAAAGGAAUAACUGAUUAGUGUUGUGAGGCCGGAAUGGGGGCGUAAAGCCUAACUCACAGCGCAGGG
rnacentral:sRNA from 1 species